CGCACCGUUUGAAGUCCGUAGCGUUUGUCUGCAGCCAAAUCGGGUGUUUGAGUUCUUAGAGAUCCGGGCAGUUUGCUGGCACAACAUACUUAGCAAGGGAAGCGAACUAUUGCUCCUGUACUUCGCGCAGCUUUGCGCAGUGGCCAAGUUAAUGGCGGCGUCAGGUCGGGGCAACGCCUUAGUCUGUUCCCUUUACAUUCCUGUUGUAGCUGUGGGGGUUCCUCUGCCAUGGCCUUCUCAGCUGCGAUUCAUGAAUGUCGACUGCUUUGAGGGAUAUUUCACAGUGACUGCUGCAAAGACAUCUUGCUAUAUCAACAGGUAUACCGCGGUGGUAGUGGUGGAGGUGGUGACCGUAGCAGGUUGUCUUUGCGAGCAGCGAUAUCGCCUCGAACUAAACCACCAAGAAACAACCAACAGCUGAAAAGAAAGAAGUGAAAACAUGCCCCGCGAAGAUGACGACGGCAAGAACAUUAUCCGCGCGGAAGUUCAAAUGACUCGGUGGUUGCCUGUGCCGGUCCCAUAGGAGACCUCCUGCAGAGGAAAAAUGGGACGUCAGCUUUGAACACCGAUGGCUACAACAGGGCAGGACGAAGCUGGUCGUGCUAUGACUGCGGCGAAUUGUCUACCGAGGUCAUUUCGCUGCCCAACCUGCGAUAGGCAUUUCUCCACCGAAGCCUACCGAGCCCGACACGUCAAACGCAUGCACCACCACCCGGGAGGUCCACACCUAUGUUCCCCCUGUGGAUACAGCACAACCAACCUGGAAAGGUUGAGAAAUCACCGACGAACCCAUACUGGUGAACGUCCGUUCGUCUGCACCUUUUGCGCAAAGGCUUUCGCUGUGAAGUGUAGUUUAGAUUGCCACAUCGAACGCGUGCAUGAAAAGGUCAGGCACCUAUGUGAAACAUGUGGAAACUCAUUCCAUGACAGAUACUGUUUAAGGCGGCACCAGAGAACUCAUACCGGGGAGAAACCCUUUGUAUGCGCGGUUUGCGGGAAUCCAUUCAGCCGGAGCGACGUCCUCCGCGAGCAUGAACGUACACACGCAGAAGACAACUCGGCUCGGACGCGACACGAACAGAACGACAGCGCGGGUUCGAAGGACGGAGCUGCGUUGUGUCUUGGAUCUAACGAGGAUGUUACAGAAGAAAAAUGAAGAGAAGCGUGCUGGCUGAACGAUAUCUAGUUCUGUUCGUGUUCUUAUCUUGACGACGAUACGAUGUCAAAAUUUUCUGCACAAUUAUUCAUGCGUCGACAGCAAUCGACGUACAAAAAAUAAAUAUGUCCGCACAAAUCGUA